UACGGAGGGGGCUAGCGUUAUCCGGAAUGAUUGGGCGUAAAGCGUCUGUAGGUGGCUUUUUAAGUCCGCCGUCAAAUCCCAGGGCUCAACUCUGGACAGGCGGUGGAAACUACCAAGCUGGAGUACGGUGGGGGCAGAGGGAAUUUCCGGUGGAGCGGUGAAAUGCGUAGAGAUCGGAAAGAACACCAACGGCGAAAGCACUCUGCUGGGCCGACACUGACACUGAGAGACGAAAGCGUGGGGAGCGAACAGG
rnacentral:rRNA from 1 species